AACGAACGCUGGCGGCAUGCCUAACACAUGCAAGUCGAACGAACCCUUCGGGGUGAGUGGCGCACGGGUGCGUAACACGUGGGAACCUGCCCUUAGGUUCGGAAUAACACAGAGAAAUUUGUGCUAAUACCGGAAAAUGUCUUCGGACCAAAGAUUUAUCGCCUUUGGAUGGGCCCGCGUAGGAUUAGCUAGUUGGUGAGGUAAAGGCUCACCAAGGCGACGAUCCUUAGCUGGUCUUAGAGGAUGAUCAGCCACACUGGGACUGAGACACGGCCCAGACUCCUACGGGAGGCAGCAGUGGGGAAUAUUGGACAAUGGGCGAAAGCCUGAUCCAGCAAUGCCGCGUGAGUGAUGAAGGCCUUAGGGUUGUAAAGCUCUUUUACCUGGGAUGAUAAUGACAGUACCAGGAGAAUAAGCCCCGGCUAACUCCGUGCCAGCAGCCGCAGUAAAAC
rnacentral:rRNA from 1 species